GGCACAAAUAGAGAAACUGGUUGAUUCAGGAGCAAGUGAAACGGGCAGCGACGAGGAAUUGGGAGAAAGUGAGGCUGGAAGCAGCGAUGAGGACAUGAAAGAAACUGAUGCUGGGAGCAGCGAUGAUGAAGGAGGAGAAAGUGAAACAGGAAGCAGCGACGAGGAAUCGGGAGAAAGUGAAGCUGGAACCAGCGACGAGGAAAUGGAAGAAUGUGAUGCUGGGAGCAGCGAUGAUCAAUGAUGCAGGAGGAAGUGCAGCUGGUCAUUCUGUUUACUGUUUUGGUAUUGGUUUUCGCUCUAUGUUCUAGUAGUAAUUAUUAUUUCUGAAGAUGGCAGAAACAUUUCAUGUGUGCAAGCAUUAUCCUCACAGAUCUC
rnacentral:lncRNA from 1 species